ACGCUAGCUACAGGCUUAACACAUGCAAGUCGAGGGGAAACGGCAUUAAGUGCUUGCACUUUUUGGACGUCGACCGGCGCACGGGUGAGUAACGCGUAUCCAACCUUCCCAUGACUAAGGGGUAACCUGCCGAAAGGCAGACUAAUACCUUAUGGUCUUCACUGACGGCAUCAGAUGUGAAGUAAAGAUUUAUCGGUUAUGGAUGGGGAUGCGUCUGAUUAGCUUGUUGGCGGGGUAACGGCCCACCAAGGCAACGAUCAGUAGGGAUUCUGAGAGGAAGGUCCCCCACAUUGGAACUGAGACACGGUCCAAACUCCUACGGGAGGCAGCAGUGAGGAAUAUUGGUCAAUGGGCGAGAGCCUGAACCAGCCAAGUAGCGUGCAGGAUGACGGCCCUAUGGGUUGUAAACUGCUUUUGUAUGGGGAUAAAGUCAGUCACGUGUGAUUGUUUGCAGGUACCAUACGAAUAAGGACCGGCUAAUUCCGUGCCAGCAGCCGCGGUAAUACGGAAGGUCCGGGCGUUAUCCGGAUUUAUUGGGUUUAAAGGGAGCGUAGGCUGGAGAUUAAGUGUGUUGUGAAAUGUAGACGCUCAACGUCUGACUUGCAGCGCAUACUGGUUUCCUUGAGUACGCACAACGUUGGCGGAAUUCGUCGUGUAGCGGUGAAAUGCUUAGAUAUGACGAAGAACUCCGAUUGCGAAGGCAGCUGACGGGAGCGCAACUGACGCUGAAGCUCGAAGGUGCGGGUAUCGAACAGGAUUAGAUACCCUGGUAGUCCGCACAGUAAACGAUGGAUGCCCGCUGUUGGUACCUGGUAUCAGCGGCUAAGCGAAAGCAUUAAGCAUCCCACCUGGGGAGUACGCCGGCAACGGUGAAACUCAAAGGGAAUUGACGGGGGCCCGCACAAGCGGAGGAACAUGUGGUUUAA
rnacentral:rRNA from 1 species